CGACGGCAACGACGAUGGGAUCAUCGACGACGUAGACGAAGAAGAAGGAGGAGGAGAAAAGGAGGAGGAAAAGGAGGAUAUGGAGAAUAGGAGGAAGAAGAAGAAGCAGGAGAGGAGGAAGAAGAAAAAUGGCAAAAUUGUCGAUUCAUAUUAUUAAUUAAUCAUGAUUAAGUAUUUUAACUGUGGUUAACAAAAUUUUUUUAACGGACUUUAAUGGUAGAAACAUAUCUGAAUACAUUAGAACUUUUAUAGGAAUAACUUAUAAAAAUUAAGCUUUAUAAGAAUAUAUAUCUAUAAUUCACGAUGUUUGUAGGGACGCGAAUGCAAUUAACCCGAUGUAGACUUUUCC
rnacentral:lncRNA from 1 species